GAUCAUGGCUCAGGACGAACGCUGGCGGCGUGCCUAAUACAUGCAAGUCGAACGAGAGCGACCGGUGCUUGCACUGAUCAAUCUAGUGGCGAACGGGUGAGUGACACGUGGGUAACCUGCCCAUCAGAGGGGGAUAACAUUCGGAAACGGAUGCUAAAACCGCAUAGGUUCUUGAGUCGCAUGACCCGAGAAGGAAAAGAGGCUUCGGCUUCUGCUGAUGGAUGGACCCGCGG
rnacentral:rRNA from 1 species